rnacentral:rRNA from 1 species
GGUCCAUGGAGCUUGCUCCGGACGACCUAGUGGCGAACGGGUGCGUAACACGUGAGGAACCUGCCCCGAUCUCUGGGAUAACAGUUGGAAACGACUGCUAAUACCGGAUGCCGUCACCUCGCCUCCUGGCGGAGUGACGAAAGAUUCAUCGGAUCGGGAGGGUCUCGCGGCCUAUCAGCUAGUUGGAGAGGUAACGGCUCACCAAGGCAUCGACGGGUAGCUGGUCUGAGAGGAUGAUCAGCCACACUGGGACUGAGACACGGCCCAGACUCCUACGGGAGGCAGCAGUGGGGAAUCUUGCACAAUGGGCGAAAGCCUGAUGCAGCAACGCCGCGUGCGGGAAGAAGGCCCUAGGGUUGUAACCCGCUUUUCAGUAGGGAAAAAAAUGACGGUACCUACAAAAAAAGGUGCGGCCAACUACGUGCCAGCAGCCGCGGUGACACGUAGGCACCAAGCGUUAUCCGGAUUUAUUGGGCGUAAAGAGCUCGUAGGCGGUUCGGUAAGUCGGGUGUGAAAAAUCUGGGCUCAACCCAGAGAGGCCACCCGAUACUGCUG